AGCCCUGUAACAUGUAUAUAUUAUAUCAAUGACAGCUCCCUUCAUCUCAAAAGCAGGAGAGAGUCAGUACAACAAGAUACUCGUAUAUCCUCAUCCAUGGUAUACAUAUAACAUUCUUGCAAUAUGUAAUAAGAUAGCCAGGUCCUCAUGAUAAGAAAUUUACCACUGUACCACAGCCCACAUGAAGAAUACUAGUACCAACUAGUUGUGUAUAAACAUGUUUUAUUU
rnacentral:misc_RNA from 1 species